ensembl:lncRNA
UCCAUAUCAAACAUUCGCGGGCAAAAGUCCAUCUCGCGCAGCAAAAGUUGGCGAAUGUUUCAUGUGUGCGCGAGCAUGGAUUUUUGCCCGCAAAUGUUUGAUAUGGAUUUGGAUUUUUGACAGUUAUUUGCCUUCAUACGAUAUAUGUAGCGUAAUUACUCAGCUAUCUAAAUUAAUAAAUACAUUUUAUUAUAUAUAUGUAUGUAUGAAUGAAGUGGACUGCCUACCUGCUGCAUCGUGACGUUCCGCAAUGGAACGACGUCUCUCCCUGUCGUGACUUCUUUUAAAGCUGACAGCUGAACAAAAUUAAUGUUUCAGUUAAUUGACAUUUUAUACCAAUUUGCAGCUAAUAUUAAACCUGUUUCCUUUUUAAACCACUGUAGGCUGAAACUUAAUUUACCUCGACCACCUCGCCCUCCACGGUUAUAAGGCCCCUGGCUUCCCGGCAGGUGCUCAGCGGAGUCAGUGGAGAGGGGGGGUGUAUUAGAAGCUCUGCUUCACGUUUGAGCGCUGCGCUGAGCGCUAUAGGAGCGCUCCUAAAGAACAGCGUGUCCUUGGUAAUGUUUAAUUGAUAUGGGGGGGACUGCCCUCUCAGAGACAGCCCCUUCACAUUAUAACUGCCACCCUCCUUAAAUCUUUUUCCAAACUCCUCGAAUACAGUGACCUUGGCCACUGAAUCCCCAUCUGUUAAUGCGGCCAGAAUAUUCAUUUUAGUCUGUGCUGGUCUCGCACCAUUUGCGUCAAACUCCCAGGCCACCACCCUGGGCUGCUCCACCACCAACACCACACAUAGGUGGAUUGGCGGGGGGCGAAAAUAGGGUGUUGGAGGCUUUGUUGUCAAAAGCGUCUUUAAUGCCAUUCUGAAAUAUUAAAAUAAACACAAAGCAUUAAGAAAAAGCUAUGUAGUAGGUUAGUACACAUUAUUUUCUAAAACGUUUCUUUUAUUUCAUAUUGUGUUGCUUCAUUAGUAUAUGGUUAUCACAAACGUAUAAGGUUAAUAUAUAUUGGAUUAAAGAGAGCAUUACGUUUGCCUAAAACGCUAAACUGCAUUAAAAAAUUGAUGACCACUAUUUGGAAAUCGCUUUUGCUAACCAAGAUAAUCUAUCCAACCGCUAGCUUAAACAUUUUAAACAACUCUAGUCACUUAAUUGUUUCUUUUGUUAAAAAGGGUUAUACUUAUAGGGUUAUACAAUAUAAAUACUCAAUUAAUGUCAGUUAUUCUUCAUAUUCUUCAUUUUCUUAUCUCAUUUAGAGAGGAACAAACUUACUUCUCUGUCAGCUUUCACAGGACUGAGGCAAAUCACCGACUUUUGCUUGCGCGAGAUGGACUUUUGCCCGCGAAAUUUUUAUAUGGAUUUUUGACAGUGAUUUUGACAGUGAUGAGUUCAAAAGCGCUCCGAUGAUGUCGGAAAUAAUGGCUGAUGACGUAAGUGUUUGCCUGAUACACCGCGUAGGAGCUUAAUGUUGCUAUUUCCAAAACUAGAUUUAACAAGGUAAUAGUGUCACAAAUUAGUCUCGUAUUAUGUACUAAAAAAUCAUUAGUGAAUUCAUAUUAUGCCUUAGGAAAACAUUACUUAAUCAACUUUUCACAUUUCAAGAAUUAACCACAUGUAUUGACCAUAUCUUGUUGUCAAUUUAUCAGCUUAAACUAUAGUAUCUCGCUGAUGAUACGAGUGCUCUUAAAGGACAACUAUAGAUUUAAUAAAAUGCAUUAUGACAGCUGAGGAAUUAAGCUUUGAGGUUUGUUUGGUACAGUUUCUAUCGAACCCGGCAUUUUGAGAGCGUAAUGUCCAAAUGUUCCUGAAUGCAUCAAUCAAAUCUAACGUCACAUCAACGCAUCUCCGUCAAAUUCCUCUGAAGUCUUGACCGACAACAGAGCAUCCUCCUUAUCUGCAUUGUGUUUGACCAUAACGGCUGGUGACUCUAAAGUGCAAGUUCACACAUCAAUUCAGAUAUUGCUCCUGCCAGUGUUGGUGACUCCAUGGAUAUUUGACAGUGUCCUGCUGUCCAGCAUCUCUCCUCCUCUAUCCCAUUGGCUCUCUGUCUCUCCUAUACCUUGUAUCCACUCUGUCUACAAUUUGAUAACUCUAGCUUUCCUGUCAAAUCUACCGCUCUGUCUGAUUUUGGAAACUCUAUCUUUGUAUCCCUCUUCUAUCCCACUCUAUCUGUAUACAGAAGCCUGAAAACCCUGAUAUUCUGAAACCUGAACCCUGAACCCUGAAACCUGAACCUAAGGUUAUUGCAACCUGUCUGAACAGAACUCUGAGAGUAUCUCCACUCUCCCGCUCUCUGUCUCUCCUCUGAACACUCACUCACCCGGGUUAUUGGUACCUGAUCUACCUUUUUGAAUGAUCUGAGAGAUUCUCUUCUCUCACUCUCACCUCUCUCCUAUCAACUCCUAUAUUUAUACAAUACUAUUACUGUUUUUACUAAUUUGACAAAACAUUUGAAAUUUACUAUUAAUGAGAUUAACAAAAUUUGCCUGAACAAAGAAUUGAAAAGUUAAUUCAGAAGCUAAAAAAACAUAAAAUACAAAUCUUUUUGUUAUAAUUGAAAAAACUACACCAUGAUCCAAAGAAUUGUAUUGUAAAAAAGUACUCUUUAUAAUUGAAUCAGGUAGAUUUCCUGAUACACUAUUUGCAAAAGUGCAUUGAAUUAACAUAAUUAAAGACAACUGCACUCUGAUAUAUAAUAAAAUACAUAACUAUUACAAAUCCAUAUUAGAGAAGUGUAUUUGCUCCUGAUCGCUGUUGCUGUGCACCUGUUGGUUUGUACUCAAAGGUUUGUUUUGUGAGCAAACACUGUUGUUAACUUGAUUAGUCUACGUACAAGGAGAAAUAAUUCCGCUACAUGCAUUGUAUCAAUUAUACCUAAUUAAUGAAUACAUAAUUUUUUUCUUAUAAACUUACAUUGUGCAUAUCAGUGUUUUGUUGUUUAUACUGAAAUAAAACACAGACGUCAACCAGGAGGAAGUGGAUUCAUCAGGAGUGGCUGUUUCCUGCUGAUCCAACGUUCUUCAGAACCAUCCAUCUGUCAUCACACUCCCACAACAACUGCUCCCGAAUAUAAACAAUAGCCGAAUAAAGUAUUAAGAUAAUUUCUACCAGUAAAUUUAGCCAUCUGAAAUCUGAAGGGCCCUUUCAGUCAGCUGCUUUCACUCAACUGCUUCCAAGUUGUGUGUUUGUGGUAGACUUCAGUUUUUACAUUGAUUAUAUAUUUCCACAGAUAAGUCAAGGUCUCAGUAAGCAAUAUCUAUUACAUAUUAAAUACCAUCGGUCACUUUAGUACAUGGUACUUUAUUUACGCAGACAGACAUACUAAGACCUGAUUGCAGUAUUCAAAUCUAGAAGUGCUUUGUCUAGACCCUCAUAUAUUAGAAUACGUCAGCUGGAUAAUUUCAUUGUGUUUUUUAUAUUAAAACUAUAAAAUAAUCCUUCAGGUUGCUGUCACUGAAUUUGACGUUCAAAUAUAAUAUAUUUAUCUAUAUUGAAAAGUGUUAUUUAUUCAUGUUUUGAAAAGCGUACGCCCAAACUGAGUUAAUUUUUCAUUCAUAAGUGUUUUUGAUUUAUAGCAGCAAGCAGGUUUAAUCCAUCUUCAAAUCCUUGUUCGUUAAAAGUAAUAUUUUACUUAUUGCAUUUAAUAUCUUGGUUUUGUACAUUUGUGGUUUUGAAACAUCAACAAUGCCAAGGAAGAGUAAGAGGUCACAAGCUCAGAGCCUGCGCUGGCAGCGGCCCAAUGAGAAUCCCUUUGCAACAACGACUGAAGGAGCAGAAUGUGUUGGUCCUGAGAGCAGUGAAGAGGUAAAGAUGUCUGCAGAGUGUAAACGUGUGGAGCAGGAAGGUCAGCCUGAUGCUUCAUGUGCACCACCACCAUCUUAUGCAGAUGCUGUAAAGAGAGGACAGCACAGUGAUGAUCCAUGUGUAGCAGGACCUUCUAAUGUGCACCAGGUGAACCAGAGAUGUCAGCCUGAUGCUUCGUGCAUACCACGGGUUUCAGAUACUAUAAAGAGAGGACAAGCCAGUAAAGAACCAUGUGCAGCAGGACCUUCUAAUGCAGACCGUGUAGACCCUGGAGAUCAGCCUUCUGAACAACAUGUCCGUGCAUCCCGCAGCCAGGCUUCUAUCAGAUACGGCAGAUCCAGAAAUCGGCAGUGCACCUGUAACUCACUGACCUUUCUUGCAUUCCUCCAUGAGAAUGAAAGCAUCACCAGAGCAGACCUGGACCAUGUUUUGGAUAAAGGUAACACGAUGUAUAGAGAGACCAGGAAACAAGUCACUAAUCACAUCUAUCUGACCACCGAUGAGCUUACUGAUGAAGUUCCUGCACGCAGCGCUACACACCAUGCAGACAUGACUCAGCUUUCAAGGUACGGCACAUUAGGAGAACCUUUACCUGGAGCUGUGGACAGCUUUCUGGACCUGGAGUCAGGACUCAGCUGCUUGUUGUCAGAUGUGAAGUACGCUCUGCUGUUGAUGAGACUCUUGUGUAUCGCAGUGUUCAGAACCAAGUCGGGCAGAUACGGUUUCUUUGACCCACACUCCAGAACAGCCAGAGGUUUGCCCCUACCAGCCGGUUCACGCACACCAGGUACUGCUGUCAUGGUGACAUUCUCACGUCUCAGUGACAUGAUUGACAGGCUCAAGAAGUC